AUGCUAGAUCUAUUUUAUUUUGUUAAGGAGAAAGGGAUGCCUUGAUUGUCGUAUUGAUUUUCUUCUUCUUUUUGUUCCAAAAGAUUGAAACUGAAGAGCUGGAAGGAGGACAUUACAACAUCUCUUAUAUUUGCAAGAUGAAGCAGAAAGUCCCAUGCAUGAUGAUGCCUCUCUACAGUGGAUGAUGAAGGCAUUCUGGUUUGCAAACUCAGGAGAGGAACAAAGAACAGAUGUUGACGGGAUCAUAUCUAGAGAUGCGGGCCUACUACACUUCAUACGAGCAAGUGUGCUAAUAUACAUGAAGACUUGGGUUAUAUUUUUUUCUGAAAACUAGGCUACAACUUUAGUGAUGGAUGCAGAAGAUAUCUACACGAGACUACGUCUUAAAGAUGCCACCCUCAUAUAAUGAAAGAGGACAAUAGAGAUGGGUUUAAACUGGAAUAUUUACAUGAUAUUUAUUUGUUAUUUGUAUUAUA
rnacentral:lncRNA from 1 species